UCCUGCAGUAAGCAAGUAUUUACACAAAUUGGUGAAAUCGGAGUAUAGCGUUGUAGUCUACUUGAGGAAGAUAACCUCGAAUAUUUUUUCUUUUUGAUUGAAUAUUUUUUCUCGAGUCGUUGUGACUUUAAUCAAGAGAGUAAUAGAAAGUAGAGUCAGGGUAAAAGAUGAACCCGCCAAUAACUGGGCAGGUGCAAGUGAUGAUUUCAAUUUCAAUUCCGACUUCAACUUCAAAUGUGAAACCCAAAACUUUGAAAUAGUCCCGUUUUGUAAAACACCAGCUCGCAACAGGAAUGAGGUUAUGGAAUUACAGGAACGUACGAAUGAUAAAAUACUAAUAGAUUUUGAGUGCAGAGAUGUUAAAUGUGAACUGAAGUCAUUAUCAACAAUCAUCUGCAAAAAUGAACAUCAAAUUUUCUCACCUAAUGUGAAACUAGAAAACGUAAAUCAGACCAAUGACAUAAUUGAAAAUAUAUUCAUUGACUUUGAGUGCAGAGAAGUCAAACCCGAACUGAAAUCUUCAUCAGCAACCGUUUUCAAAACCGAGCAUCAAAUUCGCCUACCUAGUGAAAAAAUAGAAAAAAAAAUCCGACCUUUGAUAUAAAUGAAUAUAUGAACAUUGAUUUUUUAGUACCAAAUCGAAUCAAGCCCUUCAAAUGUGACAUUUGUCAAAAAUCAUUUGGACACAAGAGUAAGCCUUAAAAUACAUGUAAAUACAGUACAUAAUCGUAACAAAUUCUUCGAAUGUAACAUUUGUCAUGCACUAUUUGAACAAAAACUACACCUCAAAACUCACAUAAAUACAGUUCAUUAUCGUAGGAAAUGUUUUCAAU